GUAAGUAAUAAUUCAAAUGACUGGUUUUGCUCUGAGAACUUAUGCAUCAAAACUUAAGAGUACCCAACAUUCAUUAUUUGGUGUUAAAUUUUUUAGAAAUCAGGAUCUUCGUGGAUCUCCUAUUGGUGUUCGGAGUUAACAUGCUCACAGAAGCUAAACAGAACAUUGGAUCCCUGUUGGAGGAGUAUACCUGGAGCUCCAACCUCUUCCGGGUCUGAGAGGGGUUUGUUCAUGCCUGAUUGUGCUUCCAUUGAGCUUUGGCUGUGUUCCAGCCUGCUCUCAGCUACUGCCUUACCAUCCGGCUCAUCAAGGUCAGGAAAAGCCAAAGUCUGCAACUGCUGGCUAUCUCCUGCCUGACUAACAUCAAAGCCUCCCUGUUGUUGGCUUCUUUCUGCAUUUGGCUGCAAACCCUCACUUUGAGCUGGCUCAUUCCUGACACUAACCUACCCCACAGGCUUCUUGUGAGGGUGCAGUGGGGAGGAAGAGAACCAUGUAUGCCACAUUCAUCUCUUUGGGAGAAAGGUGGGAUAAAAAUGCAAUUAAAUAAACAAAUGUUGAGAAAGUUUGUCAGCAACAUGCCUGUGCUCCAGAUUGGCCAGUUCCUUCCAUUUCUGGGCAAGGAGGGGGUGCUGGCACUGCAUGGCGGGGUCAUCAAGAAUGCUAAGGUGCAGCUUGCAUUCCUGUGAUGAUGUUUAAAUUGUUUCUGUUCACUUUGUUCCCCCUCUGGUCUUGAGCUAAGCACAUAUUGGUUGUUCUCCAAGCAUCUCUCUGCCCCUGCUACAAUUACAAUAAAGACUGCCAUAUACUUCAAA